rnacentral:rRNA from 1 species
CAACCUUUGACAUGGGACGUAUGGUUGCCAGAGAUGGUGACCUUCAGUUCGGCUGGCGUCCACACAGGUGCUGCAUGGCUGUCGUCAGCUCGUGUCGUGAGAUGUUGGGUUAAGUCCCGCAACGAGCGCAACCCUCAUCUUCAGUUGCCAUCAGUUCGGCUGGGCACUCUGAAGAAACUGCCGGUGACAAGCCGGAGGAAGGUGGGGAUGACGUCAAGUCCUCAUGGCCCUUACAGGUUGGGCUACACACGUGCUACAAUGGCGGUGACAAUGGGUUGCGAGCCCGCGAGGGUGAGCUAAUCUCAAAAAGCCGUCUCAGUUCGGAUUGCACUCUGCAACUCGAGUGCAUGAAGUCGGAAUCGCUAGUAAUCGUGGAUCAGCAUGCCACGGUGAAUA